GGGGGGGGGGGGGGGGGGGGUGGGGGGGUGCAGGGCGGGGGGGGGCGCGGGGGUCGGCCUGGCGGCGGGUGGCGAGCGGGUGGGGAAUGCGUGGGGAGGUGCGCAGUGGUGGGGGGUAGCUCGGCGAGAGCCGGAGUAAUACCGCAUCCGACCUGAGGGUGAGAGGGGGGGGUCUUCGGACCUCGCGCUAUUGGAGCGGCCGAUGGCAGAUUAGCUAGUUGGUGGGGGAAAGGCCUACCAAGGCGACGAUCUGUAGCUGGUCUGAGAGGACGACCAGCCACACUGGGACUGAGACACGCCCCAGACUCCUACGGGAGGCAGCAGUGGGGAAUUUUGGACAAUGGGCGAAAGCCUGAUCCAGCAAUGCCGCGUGUGUGAUGAAGGCCUUCGGGUUGUAAAGCACUUUUGGCGGGAACGAAAAGGACUGUGCCAAUACCACGGUUCGAUGACGGUACCCGCAGAAUAAGCACCGGCUAACUACGUG
rnacentral:rRNA from 1 species